CAGAUUAGGAUUAUGCAGGAGGCGUCAAAGAAGGAUAAGGAAGAAUUGGGAGAAGAAAUUAAGGAGAGUGCAAGCAAGAUCUUGGAGGAGAUGUGAUCCUUGUUUGCAGUUACUAUAGUGGAAAAAAACAAGGGAAAUAAUUCUCGAGAAAUGAAGUGGCUGGGUCUUUUGCUGCUGUUCUCAGAGGGAAGGGAAUUCUACCCAAA
rnacentral:misc_RNA from 1 species